UGCAGUCGAGCGGUAACAUGAUUAGUAGCAAUACUGAUUGAUGACGAGCGGCGGACGGGUGAGUAAUACGUAGGAACCUGCCCAGAAGCGGGGGACAACCAAGGGAAACUUUGGCUAAUACCGCAUGAACUCGGAAGAGUAAAGCUGCCCGCGAGGGUGGCACUUUUGGAGGGGCCUGCGUCCGAUUAGCUAGUUGGUGAGGUAAAGGCUCACCAAGGCGAUGAUUGGUAACUGGUCUGAGAGGACGACCAGUCACACUGGGACUGAGACACGGCCCAGACUCCUACGGGAGGCAGCAGUGGGGAAUAUUGGACAAUGGGGGCAACCCUGAUCCAGCGAUGCCGCGUGAGUGAAGAAGGCCUUCGGGUCGUAAAGCUCUUUAGGUUGGGAAGAAGGGUACGAUAUGAAUAAGAUUGUACUUUGACGGUACUGACAGAAUAAGCACCGGCAAACUCUGUGCCAGCAGCCGCGGUAAUACAGAGGGUGCGAGCGUUAAUCGGAGUUACUGGGCGUAAAGGGCGCGUAGGCGGUGUUAUGAGUGUGAUGUGAAAGCCCCGGGCUUAACCUGGGAAGUGCAUCGCAAACGAUAAUACUGGAGUAUAUGAGAGGGUGGCGGAAUUUCCGGUGUAGCGGUGAAAUGCGUAGAGAUCGGAAGGAACGUCGAUGGCGAAGGCAGCCACCUGGCAUAAUACUGACGCUGAGGCGCGAAAGCGUGGGGAGCGAACAGGAUUAGAUACCCUGGUAGUCCACGCUGUAAACGAUGAUAACUAGAUGUUGGUAGGGGAACCUAUCAGUAUCGAAGCUAACGCGAUAAGUUAUCCGCCUGGGAAGUACGGCCGCAAGGUUGAAACUCAAAGGAAUUGACGGGGGCCCGCACAAGCGGUG
rnacentral:rRNA from 1 species